rnacentral:rRNA from 1 species
ACGCUCGACACCUACGGGAGCAGCAGUGGGGAAUAUUGCACAAUGGAGGAAACUCUGAUGCAGCGAUGCCGCGUGAGGGAAGAAGGUUUUCGGAUUGUAAACCUCUGUCUUUGGGGACGAUAAUGACGGUACCCAAGGAGGAAGCUCCGGCUAACUACGUGUCAGCAGCCGCGGUAAUCUGAGCGGGCUGGCAAGGC